rnacentral:lncRNA from 1 species
UCGUCUCUUUUGCAAGAGACAUUGCAGGGGCUCAUCUUAACAUUUACACUACUAUAGAAAAAAUUGGUCAAAUUGUAUCAAAAAAAAAUGGUGAAAACUCAACACAAAUGAUAAAGCAAAAGAAGGAAACAUAACUGAUAAACAAAAACAUCUCUCAUAAAAAUGAAGGUCUAUAGACAUAUUCAUAUCUCAAUAGAACAAACAAAAUACAAAAUAAUCUAUCAAAAUAGUGAAACAUAUCUUAUAGAUUUAGAAACCAUAUUUUCCACAACAUAUUCAAAAAACUAGAUCUUUUCUUCCUCUGCCUCUGCCAUGGCCGCAAGGAUUGCAUGUGAGAAAAGGGAAAAUGUCAUCUCUGAUUUUGUUGCAAGUAUGAGACAAGAGAUUUUGAGAGAUGAGAGGUUCAAAAUAGAAGCAUAGGGUUAAAAUGAGAGAGUAAAGUAAUCGUUUGAGAGACACAUGCAACGGAAAGAUUUAAUUCCUCUGAGUAAUUCUAGAAUAUAGAAUAAGUUAUAUUAACACCGUACGACCCUCAAUUUUUAUAUUUACACUAUUGAACCCAUUCUCACAUCAUUAACUGCUAAUGCGGGGCUCGAUGCACUGCAUCUCAUUAACCGCUCACGUGCGGCUCGAUGCACU